rnacentral:ncRNA from 1 species
UUUCCUCCCGUAGAAUAGCUGGAAUACAUAAUGAAGCUGUUAUGUUCGGUAGAGCGCAUGAUUGGAGGAAUUGUGGGACGAUACGUCUUCAACCUAUUCUCAAACUUUCAAUGAGUAUGACAUCUCAUUUGCUUGAAUGAAGCAUAGACAAUGAAUGUGUUGAGGCUCCAAUUAAGCCAUUUUUAAUGAACAAGUCUGGCGUUGUGGAAUGAACCA